rnacentral:rRNA from 1 species
GACGAACGCUGGCGGCGUGCUUAACACAUGCAAGUCGAACGGAAAGGCCCUGCUUUUGUGGGGUGCUCGAGUGGCGAACGGGUGAGUAACACGUGAGUAACCUGCCCUUGACUUUGGGAUAACUUCAGGAAACUGGGGCUAAUACCGGAUAGGAGCUCCUGCUGCAUGGUGGGGGUUGGAAAGUUUCGGCGGUUGGGGAUGGACUCGCGGCUUAUCAGCUUGUUGGUGGGGUAGUGGCUUACCAAGGCUUUGACGGGUAGCCGGCCUGAGAGGGUGACCGGCCACAUUGGGACUGAGAUACGGCCCAGACUCCUACGGGAGGCAGCAGGGGGGAAUAUUGCACAAUGGGCGGAAGCCUGAUGCAGCAACGCCGCGUGCGGGAUGCCGGCCUUCGGGUUGUAAACAGCUUUCGCCUGUGACGAAGCGUGAGUGACGGUAAUGGGUAAAGAAGCACCGGCUAACUACGUG